GGGUCUGUCGCUUAAUGGUAAAGCAUCGGGCUUUUAACCCGAAAGAUAUAAGUUCAAAUCUUAUCAGACCUACCA
rnacentral:tRNA from 1 species